rnacentral:pre_miRNA from 2 species
UCGUGAAUCUUAGCGUAAUGUCGUUCAUUUGACUCGGGAUAUUAUGCUAAGAUAAACGUGA